rnacentral:rRNA from 1 species
CUACGGGUUGCCGCAGUAGGGAAUAUUGGACAAUGGGCGCAAGCCUGAUCCAGCCAUGCCGCGUGAGUGACGAAGGCCUUAGGGUUGUAAAGCUCUUUUGGCGGGGACGAUAAUGACGGUACCCGCAGAAUAAGCUCCGGCUAACUUCGUGCCAGCAGCCGCGGUAAUACGAAGGGAGCUAGCGUUGUUCGGAAUCACUGGGCGUAAAGCGCACGUAGGCGGAUUUGUUAGUCAGGGGUGAAAUCCCGGGGCUCAACCUCGGAACUGCCUUUGAUACUGCAAAUCUCGAGUCCGGAAGAGGUGGGUGGAAUUCCUAGUGUAGAGGUGAAAUUCGUAGAUAUUAGGAAGAACACCGGUGGCGAAGGCGGCCCACUGGUCCGGUACUGACGCUGAGGUGCGAAAGCGUGGGGAGCAAACAGGAUUAGAUACCCCCGUAGUC